rnacentral:lncRNA from 1 species
UGAAGAUCCCAUUUGGCCUGGUCAAUAUUCAUCUUUCCUUUUCCCUUCCCUUUUGCCUUCCCUUCUGCCUUCCCUUCCCUUCCCUUCCCUUUUGCCUUCCCUUUUGCCUUCCCUUUUGCCUUCCCUUUUCCCUUCCCUUUUCCCUUCCCUUCCCUUACCUUCCCUUCCCUUUUCCUUUCCCUCUUCCCUUCCCUUCCCUUCCCUUCCCUCUUCCCUUCCCUUCCCUUCCCUUCCCUCUUCCCUUCCCUUCCCUUCCCUUCCCUUCCCUUCCCUUCCCUUCCCUUCCCUUCCCUUCCCUUCCCUUCCCUUCCCUUCCCUUCCUUUCCAUUCUUUUUCUUUCCAUCUAAAAAGAUAUAUAUAUGUAUGUGUAU